GCCAAACCACACAAUGCCUUUAAGGUGUUGAUUUACCUCUUAGUAGUCCAGAAAUUAUUGGUUAACUCCUCCAGAAGGGCAAAGGUCCCAAGCUCUUGCACGGACUGCCUCCUGUCUGUCUGCCUCCUUCCAAUGGUGUGAAAUUGUAAGAUGGGCAGCCAUUGACAUAAAGUUUAUCAAGUUACCGUUUUUGUCCAUAAAAAUGAAAGAUGAGCAUAGUUCAGGAGCUCCAUUUACAGGUAGACCUCACUCAGCAGAGGCUCAGGUGGUACCCACUGCUGGCUGUUCCCACCAGAAGCAGCAGGGUUCCUCCAAACCCACAUUCCCUCCAGCCCAGCUGAGAGCUGGGUCCCAUUAUUCUGCAAAGACACACGGGUGUGUUGUGCUAGCACCAGAAGAUUUUAACCACAUUUGCUUGAAUUCUAGCAGAUCUAGAAUGGAGGUGGUUGCCCGUGCCACAGCCUGUUCCCAUUUAUUUCCCUGUAUCUUGUUCCCGCUUCAUUUGAUUGCUCCAAAGUCUGUUCACUCUCAUUUUGAAGAGCGACUAGAAGCUCUGCAUGGUCUCAGCAGACUUGUGCCUUGAAGGAAAACUCUGCUCUCUUUCACCUGGAGCCAUCCUGCCAUCUUCCACAGACCAUUCUGGGCAGCUAUGCUGUAGCCUUUCCUCAAUAUAAUUGUCCUGGUUUUCUUCCCAGGAAGGAGCACCGUGUGCCAUCAUCUUCAACUAGGAAGCAGAAGCCCCAUUUCUAAGGCAGUUUGGCUUCAUGAAGUUAGAGACAUCAUCUGCUGAGACCAGCAAUGUUCAGUGUCAAGGUUUCAGAGCUCACAUCCUGCAAUGCCAGUAGAGCUGAACCAUGGGCGGUUGAGUUUUGACAGUCAUAGGCUGCCUGUGCCAGUUUGUAUUUGACACUGAACCUCUCAAAGGAAAUGAUAGCAACUCUGGGCCUGGGGGUAGAGAAGGAUGUAGCCUAAGGCCCUUUAUGCUCUUUCCAGAUCUGAAGCCUUAGUAACCAGGUUCAAAAAAAUUGCCACCGUUUUGAGAGCAUUUUAGCAGCUCACAGAAAUGCACCCUACCUUUCUGAAGGAAACUUUCAACUCUUGUUGGCAUACCUUUUGAGCAGAAGACAAGCAGGCUGGCCUCUUAUGGCACUUAAAGGGUAAUACAGAAAUCACGCUGGAGUAAUCCAAAGGGCAGGGGAAAUGGGCAGAUGGGCAAUUUUUUAAUUUCAUGUAGCCUUUUCUCCACCCAUAUUUAUUGGUCAAAGCGGGGGGGGGCAGCUUUAAUAAAAUAUUGGGGGCCCCACUCUGCAUAAUCGAUAACAUGAUGCAGUGCACGGACACCAUUUGAACAGCAAUGCCCAUCAUCUUGUUUGGCAGCCCCCUCAAAUAUUUUAAGGGGGGGAGGCUAAAGGGACCUCAGCCCUUAGAAGUUGGCUCCUGUAUAUGAAGGGAACACCACACUUUUUUUAUAUAGAGUACAAAGCUGUUACUCUUAAAAUUCUACAAGGAAGGCUCAAGCAGUAUGUGGACCGAGAACUCCCAGAAGUGCAAGCUGGAUUUAGAAGAGGCAGAGGAACCAGAGACCAAAUUGCAAACAUGUGCUGGAUUAUGGAGAAAGCUAGAGAGUUCCAGAAAGACAUCUACUUCUGCUUCAUUGACUAUGCAAAAGCCUUUGACUGUGUCGACCACAGCAAACUAUGGCAAGUUCUUAAAGAAAUGGGAGUGCCUGAUCACCUCAUCUGUCUCCUGAGAAAUCUCUAUGUGGGACAAGAAGAAACAAUUAGAAAUGGAUAUGGAACAACUGAUUGGUUCAAAAUUGGGAAAGGAGUACGACAAGGCUAUAUAUUGUCUCCCUGCUUAUUUAACUUAUAUGCAGAAUUCAUCAUGUGAAAGGCUGGGCUGGAUGAAUUCCUAGCCGGAAUUAAGAUUGCUGGAAGAAAUAUCAACAACCUCAGAUAUGCAUAUGACACAACCUUGGUGGCAGAAAGUGAGGAGGAAUUAAAGAACCUUUUAAUGAGGGUGAAAGAGGAGAGUGCAAAAUAUGGUCUGAAGCUCAACAUCAAAAAAACGAAGAUCAUGGCCCCUGGUCCCAUCACCUCCUGGCAAAUAGAAGGGGAAGAAAUGGAGGCAGUGAAAGAUUUUACUUCCUUGGGCUCCAUGAUCACUGCAGAUGGUGACAGCAGCCACAAAAUUAAAAGACGCCUGCUUCUUGGGAGAAAAGCAAUGACAAACCUAGACAGCAUCUUAAAAAGCAGAGACAUCACCUUGCCAACAAAGUCCGUAUAGUUAAAGCUAUGGUUUUCCCAGUAGUGAUGUAUGGAAGUGAGAGCUGGACCAUAAAGAAGGCUGAUCACCGAAGGAUAGAUGCUUUUGAAUUAUGGUGCUGGAGGAGACUCUUGAGAGUCCCAUGGACUGCAAGAAGAUCAAACCUAUCCGUUCUUAAGGAAAUCAGCCCUGAGUGCUCACUGGAAGGACAGAUUCUGAAGCUGAGACUCCAAUAUUUUGGCCACCUCAUGAGAAGAGAAGACUCCCUGGAAAAGACCCUGAUGUUGGGAAAGAUGGAGGGUACAAGGAGAAGGGGACGACAGAGGACGAGAUGGUUGGACAGUGUUCUCGAAGCUACCAGCAUGAGAUUGACCAAACUGCGGGAGGCAGUGGAAGACAGGAGUGCCUGGCCUGCUCUGGUCCAGGGGGUCAUGAAGAGUCGGACACCACUAAACGACUAAACAACAACAAAGCUGUUCCUUUAAUCCCCAUUUUGGGAUCCCAGAACUUUAGCAGCCUCCAUUUGUUUAAGAGAAUUAAUAGGAACAAGUUAAUCAAAAGAUGUAGAACUGGUCGUGCAGUUAAUUAUUAUACACAGGAAGGUGGGGUUUUCCUUGCAUUGUUCAAAGCAAAUAUUUUUCUCCACAAGGAAAUGCGAUGAGAUGUUGGUUAUUAAGUGUUUGCCGCCACCUCCUCAGCUGUACUCAGGUUCAAGAUAAUCUCUAGAGCUUUAGUGUAGCAAGUUUUUGGAAAUGUUUGAGGAAUGAUAGCUGACAGCUUUGGAGCCUUUAAUCUUCAGCCCCCCAACCACACUCUUGACAUCUAAAUGGUGAAUUUUUCAGCAUCCUUGUCCAUUGGGUGACACUCCUGAGAUGUAAAUAGGCACAGGAGACAUACAAGACUCAAAAGUAGAAGCCUCUGACUGAAGGUCAUUUCAGCUCUUUAAAAUAUGGCGAGUUGAGGACAUGUUCAGUCGCUUCCAGUGAGAGGCUUGCUGGUGCGUUCCUGAAGACUGCCAUAGCCUGUAAGAAUGUUUGUGGUUUCUGGGCUGCUAUUGCCACCUAGGGGUACUGUAAGAAAUAAAACAAGUCACAGUGUUCUCAUUUAGUAG